GGUGCUGUAGCUCAGUGGUAGGGUGCUUGCCUAGCAUGUGCAAGACCCUGGGUUUGAACCCCAGCACUGCCA
rnacentral:tRNA from 1 species